rnacentral:rRNA from 1 species
GGAUCAAUUUAUUGGUCGUACCUUUGGUACGUACUGAUUUUAUUGGUUUCUCCCUUCUGAUGAACCAUGAUGUCAUUAAUUUGGUGUCUUGGGGAAUCAGGACUGUUACUUUGAAAAAUUAGAGUGUUUAAAGCAGGCUCACGCUUGAAUACAUUAGCAUGGAAUAAUGAAAUAGGACGUUUAAUUCUAUUUUGUUGGUUUCUAGGAUUGACGUAAUGAU